GGGGGCGUUUUGGAUUCGACGCCGGUUACAAAACCCAAGGUGCAUGCCGAGAUGGCGACGAAUCUCGUAAAUCCAGAGUCGCAAACCUAUAGUUGCCAACGACGACAACUACGCACUCGCUGCUUAAACACCAGUAGAGUGCCGCCUGACCGGAGCCGUGCUUAUGCGUCCGGAGCUGAAUCUCCCUCGGGGGUGAAAGCGCUCAGACGUCGACCUUCAUAAGAUCGCAACAAAGCUCGUCCGGGGCAGCGUUGUUAAAACCUUACCGGAAUCGCAGUUGGUCUUCCCUGCCUGUCGGGUAGCCUGCUGUUAAAUUCAAAGACGGGAUAAGCAUGUAGAGCCGCGGGCGGAGGACUGGCGGACAGGGGUUCAACUCCCCUCGCCUCCACCA
rnacentral:tmRNA from 1 species